UACGUAGGGUGCAAGCGUUAAUCGGAAUUACUGGGCGUAAAGCGUGCGCAGGACGGUUAUGUAAGACAGGUGUGAAAUCCCCGGGCUUAACCUGGGAACUGCAUUUGUGACUGCAUAGCUAGAGUACGGUAGAGGGGAGAGUGAAUUCCGGCGUGUAGCAGUGAAAUGCGUAGAUAUGCGGAGGAACACCGAUGGCGAAGGCAAUCCCCUGGACCUGUACUGACGCUCAUGCACGAAAGCGUGGGGAGCAA
rnacentral:rRNA from 1 species